GUUUGAAAUAUAAGGAUAACAAUUUUACAUAUAUAAACUCCUCUCCUUUGGAGAAAUUACAUCAAUAUACAAGCCUUAAAAUCCAAAGAACACCAAAAUACUUGAUAAGGUGUUAUAAAAAACUUAUAUAUCCUUAUGAGGAAUUUUUCCCGAAGUUCAACAGCUCAUAACUUACGAUCUAACCGUCUAAACAACGCCAAAUUUUACAUGGAGUACUGAUAUAUCUUUAGCAACUAC
rnacentral:lncRNA from 1 species